AUUACUUUGGCAGAUUAGUGUUUUAAAUUUAGAAUUUAAUUAUGUAUAAUUAAAUUAUACAGGUAAUA
rnacentral:tRNA from 1 species